rnacentral:lncRNA from 1 species
CUAAGGGUCACCAUAGCAACACAUGGGGGUGGAGCCAAUCCUUUGGCUACAGCAUACCUGUGGGCGGGGCUAAGGGUCACCAUGACAACACUAAGAUGGGCGGAGCCAAGCCGUACGGUGACAGUAUCCCUGUGGGCGGGGCUAAGAGUCACCAUGACAACACAUGGGGGCGGAGCCAAGCCCUAUUGGCGACAAUAUCAGUGUGGGCGGGGCUAACGGUCACCAUGGCAACACAAGGGGGCGGAGCAAAGCCCUAUCGGUGACAGUAGCUCUGGGGGCGGGGCUAAUGGCCACCAUGGCAACACUAAGAUGGGCAGAGCCAACCCCUAUGGAAACACUAUCCCUGUGGGCAGGGCUAAAGGUUACUAUGGCAACACUAAGAUGGGCGGAGCCAAUCCUAUGGCAACAGCACCCCUGUGGGCGGGGGUAAAGGUCACCAUGGCAACACUAAGAUGGGCGGAGCCAAUCCUAUUGGCAACAGCACCCCUGUUGGCGGGGCUAAGGGUUACCAUGGCAACAUUAAAGGGGCGGAGCCAAGCCCUAUUGGCGACAGUAUCUCUAUGGGCGGGGCUAAGGGUCACCAUGGCAGCACUAAGAUGGGCGGAGCCAAUCCCUAUGGUGACAUUAUCCCUGUGGGCGGGGCUAAGGGUUACUAUGGCAACACUAAGAUGGGCGGAGCCAAUCCUAUGGCAACAGCACCCCUGUGGGCGGGGGUAAAGGUCACCAUGGCAACACUAAGAUGGGCGGAGCCAAUCCUAUUGGCAACAGCACCCCUGUUGGCGGGGCUAAGGGUUACCAUGGCAACAUUAAAG